AAGUCGUAACAAGGUUUCCGUAGGUGAACCUGCGGAAGGAUCAUUAACACGUAUCCAACGUUAAACAACCCUGUGAACCUUCAGACAGUUCUUCUAGCCCACGCGAACAGCAAUCCCGGUAAAUCAAGUGGCGGAAAGUUUUUUUGAUUCGGGACCUCUAUCCGGGUGGUAUCAAGUUAGAAUCCGAACUUGAGCAGUGGCAUGGUUUCCCUACGCAGUGCAGAAGGAUCCACUGAUAAGGAUGACGCCUCACGGUUGCUAGCGGUCGAUCACCGAUCAGCAGACAUGUCACAGGGCUUU
rnacentral:misc_RNA from 1 species